CACUGUACCCCCAAGGCCAGAGCCAGGGCCAAGUAUGGAGCCCAGCCUCACCCCACCUGCAGUUCCCCCCCGUGCUCCUAUCCUGAGCAAAGGCCCAAGCCCCCCUCUUAAUGGUAACAUCCUGAGCUGCAGCCCAGAUAGGAGGUCCCCAUCCCCCAAGGAAUCAGGCCGGAGUCACUGGGAUGACAGCACUAGUGACUCAGAACUGGAGAAGGGGGCUCGGGAACAGCCAGAAAAAGAGGCCCAAUCCCCAAGUCCUCCUCACCCCAUUCCUAUGGGGUCCCCCACAUUAUGGCCAGAAACUGAGGCACAUGUUAGCCCUCCCUUGGACUCACACCUGGGGCCUGCCCGACCCAGUCUGGACUUCCCUGCUUCAGCCUUUGGCUUCUCCUCAUUGCAGCCAGCUCCCCCACAGCUGCCCUCUCCAGCUGAACCCCGCUCGGCACCCUGUGGCUCCCUUGCCUUCUCUGGGGAUCGAGCUCUGGCUCUGGCUCCAGGACCCCCCACCAGAACCC
rnacentral:lncRNA from 1 species